rnacentral:rRNA from 1 species
UACGGAGGGGGCGAGCGUUGUCCGGAGUUACUGGGCGUAAAGCGCGUGUAGGCGGGUUGUCAAGUCCGCUGUGAAAGCCCGAGGCUCAACCUCGGAGGGUCUGUGGAUACUGACAGUCUUGAAGGUGCUAGGGGGAGAUGGAAUUACCGGUGUAGCGGUGAAAUGCGUAGAGAUCGGUAGGAACACCAGUGGCGAAGGCGGUCUCCUGGGGCAUUCUUGACGCUGAGACGCGAAAGCUGGGGGAGCAAACGGG